GUCCUCGUAGCUCAGUUGGAUAGAGCACCAGAUUCCUAAUCUGGGGGUCGCAGGUUCGAAUCCUGCCGGGGACACCA
rnacentral:tRNA from 1 species